UGGUGUGCAUAUUUUAAGGAAUAACCUAGAUUUUAUAUAUAAGACUUUUUUUUCUCUGAUUGCGGAGGUUAGGGAAGAGAAGACUCUUUGGAAGCCAAAAGACACAAGAACAGAAUCAUCAAGGAUAUUGUGGAAAAGAAGACAAGACACCAGGAAUGUGGUUUUAGUAGGCCGUGACUUCAUAAAUAACACAUCUGGGAACCAUCUGGCAAUGACUCGUCCAGUGCAGUAUUUAUCUUGAUCCAUUCGUAUGGCCUCACCCUCAUCCUGAAUGAAGCAGAGUUAUGCCUCUUCAGUUGGACUGACACUUACCUGAAAGGAGCCACGAAACCCAACCCUCUGGUUCACCAGGCACAUCCUCCUGUUUGCUGCAUGCUUGAGGAGAAGCUGAUGGUCCAAAGAGAAAUUAAGUUGAAAAGAGA